UACGUAGGGUGCAAGCGUUAAUCGGAAUUACUGGGCGUAAAGCGUGCGCAGGCGGUUAUGCAAGACAGAUGUGAAAUCCCCGGGCUUAACCUGGGAACCGCAUUUGUGACUGCAUAGCUGGAGUACGGCGGAGGGGGAUGGAAUUCCGCGUGUAGCAGUGAAAUGCGUAGAUAUGCGGAGGAACACCGAUGGCGAAGGCAGUCCCCUGGGCCUGUACUGACGCUCAUGCACGAAAGCGUGGGGAGCAAACAGG
rnacentral:rRNA from 1 species